GACUACAGCCAUGCCACCCUGAACAAGCCCGAUCCCAUCUGAUCUCGGAAGCUAAGCAAGGUCGGGCCUCGUUAGUACUUGGAUGAGAGACCACCUAGGAAGACCAGGUGCUGUAGGCA
rnacentral:rRNA from 1 species